UGAACGCUAGCGACAGGCUAACACAUGCAAGUCGAGGGCGAGCAUAAAAGUAGCAAUACGUUGGUGGCGACCGGCGCACGGGUGAGUAACGCGUAUGCAACCUACCUAUCAGAGGGGAAUAACCCGGCGAAAGUCGGACUAAUACCGCAUAAAACAGGGGCACCGCAUGGUGAUAUUUGUUAAAGAAAUUCGCUGAUAGAUGGGCAUGCGUUCCAUUAGGUAGUUGGUGAGGUAACGGCUCACCAAGCCGACGAUGGAUAGGGGAACUGAGAGGUUGGUCCCCCACACUGGUACUGAGACACGGACCAGACUCCUACGGGAGGCAGCAGUGAGGAAUAUUGGUCAAUGGGCGGGAGCCUGAACCAGCCAAGUCGCGUGAAGGAAGAAGGAUCUAUGGUUCGUAAACUUCUUUUGCAGGGGAAUAAAGUGCAGGACGUGUCCUGUUUUGUAUGUACCCUGAGAAUAAGGAUCGGCUAACUCCGUGCCAGCCGCCGC
rnacentral:rRNA from 1 species